UUACUGAUCUGGCAGAGGAGUGACGGAGAUCACAAGGCUGAUCUCCCGGGCUGAGGAUCCCCACUGCACUCCAGGUGAGAUGACUCCUGCUGUGUCCCAAAUGUGGGACACUCGACUGUAAAAUGUGUGGUGCUGGGGACGGUGUUCGCGGUCUCCCUGA